GCGGUUCCCAAUAUGUCACAUGGCCUGUGAGAUCAGACCGGUUAUCAGUAAGCUGAAUUGCAGAAUUUACAAGGUGCGCGUCUCCUUCAUAUUUUAAGUCACGAAUACUCUCGUUGAAGUUGGUGAAAUUGAAGAAUAAUGCAGUGGCAGGAGAGAUUAGUAGAAAGAAUAGAAUGAGAAUCAUGACAACUAAAGAAGAAGAAGAACGAACGAACAGAAAAAGAG
rnacentral:misc_RNA from 1 species